UAAGCGGAGGAAAAGAAACUAACAAGGAUUCCCCUAGUAACGGCGAGUGAAGUGGGAAAAGCUCAACUUUGAAAUCUGGCUGCUUUGCAGUCCGAGUUGUAGUCUCGAGAAGUGUUUUCCGCGUUAAACCGUGUAUGAGUCUGUUGGAAUACAGCGUCAUAGAGGGUGAGAACCCCGUUCAUGACACGGCUUUUAAUGCUUUGUGAUACAUUUUCGAUGAGUCGAGUUGUUUGGGAAUGCAGCUCAAAUUGGGUGGUAAAUUCCAUCUAAAGCUAAAUAUUGGCGGGAGACCGAUAGCAAACAAGUACCGUGAGGGAAAGAUGAAAAGCACUUUGGAAAGAGAGUUAAAAGUACGUGAAAUUGUCGAAAGGGAAACGCUUGAAGUCAGACGUGCACGGGAUUCAUUCCCAUUGCAGGCCAACAUCGGUUUUGCGAGCCGGAUAAAGGUAGAAGGAAGGUGGCAGUCUCGGCUGUGUUAUAGCCUUCUACUGAAUACGGAUUGCGAGACCGAGGGACGCAGCGCGCCGCAAGGCAGAGGGUUCGCCCUUUUCGCGCUUAGGAUGUUGGUGAAAUGGCUUUAAACGACCCGUCUUGAAACACG
rnacentral:rRNA from 1 species